rnacentral:ncRNA from 2 species
ACUGUGGAGUAUUAUACCAAAUGUAAGUAGCUUUUAUAGCAAAAGCAGAUACGUUGAGACGGUUG